rnacentral:lncRNA from 1 species
CUCUCAGCCAAAGCCAAGAAUAGCAACUGUAGCAGCAGGUACCACACCUGACUUUCUAAUGAGGGGAAGUCCAGCAGCCGUCCCCCAUUGUCUGUGGCAGGAGGUAUCUCUGCAUUAGCCAGGUUAGACAAAUGUAAAGAGAGACAUCACUGUAUCUGGAUCAUCAGGAUCUGUGAAGGUUUGAAAGGGCCAAUGAGUAUUCUCAUCAUUGAGGCAUUCUAUGGUGGGUCCCAUAAACAGCUGGUGGAUCUGCUUCAAGAAGAGUUAGAAGACUCUGUCCUGUAUACCCUGCCUGCAAAGAAAUGGCACUGGAGAGCAAGGACAUCAGCUUUGUACUUCUCUCAGAAUAUUCCCGCCAGUGGGCAUUACAGGAUCCUCUUCGCAAGCUCAGUGCUUAACCUGACUGAACUGGCUGCCCUUCGACCUGACCUUGGGAAAUUGAAAAAGAUUCUGUACUUUCAUGAGAACCAGUUGGUAUAUCCUGUCAAGAAAUGUCAGGAGAGGGAUUUCCAAUAUGGAUACAACCAAAUUCUAUCCUGCCUGGUGGCUGAUGUGGUGGUAUUCAACUCGGUUUUUAAUAUGGAGUCAUUUCUCACUUCUAUUGGAAAAUUCAUGAAGUUGAUUCCUGAUCACAGACCCAAGGAUCUGGAAAGCAUCAUCAGACCCAAGUGCCAAGUUAUUUACUUUCCCAUCAGGUUUCCUGACGUGAGCAGAUUCAUGCCCAAGCACAAAGCAGCCCAUUUACAGAAGAUACUCAGCCUUAAAGAAAAUGGUGGCACUGCUCCAUCCACGGCCCUUCCUUUCCAACAGGAGCAGAGAGGUUCUGAGAAUUUAUUGAAGAGUUUUGAUUCAAAGUCUGGACUUGGUGAUGCUGCACAACAAGAAAGCCUGGGUUGCUCUGUAAGACAGGAGUCAUACUUGAAAACAUUCAACUCCUCAGAUGAUUCAAGCACACAUCAUGGGGAACGUAAACAAAAUCAGUGUGACAUUUUGGCUGAAGCUGAUGAUCAGCAAAGACCAUUACAUAUUGUCUGGCCUCACAGGUGGUUGGAAGCUGUGUAUUGUGGGUGUUACCCGCUUUGUCCCAAAGAUUUGGUUUAUCCCGAAAUAUUUCCAGCUGAAUAUCUGUAUUCUACACCUGAACAGCUUUCAAAAAGGCUCCAGAAUUUCUGCAAGAGACCAGAUAUUACAAGAAAACAUCUCUAUAAGGGUGAAAUGGCUCCUUUUUCUUGGGCAGCCCUACAUGGUAAAUUCAGGUCUCUGCUUACAGCAGAACCUAGGGAAGAUUUGUGACAGAUGGGGCUAAGUCACAAACUUGCAGCCUAAGGCAGAAUCUGUAGAACUUUCCAGAGUGUGCCCAUAUUUACCUGAUCAGAGAGAAAAGAAAAUCUGCAGAGGAAGCUGAGCCUGGCUGCUUGUCAUAGCUGACACAGAGCCAUCUGCCACAAACCUGUGGCGGCUUCAGAUCUCCAAUCCCUGCCACCACCCCAACUCAAAUUAAAUACAGAUUCCUAGAGACGUUAUGAUGGUUACACAUGUCCUCGGCAUCACAUGGAGGAGACUGUUCAAAAAAAAUAUGUGGCCUGUUGUAUAACCGCACUCAUGUAUCCCAUAUGUGGUGCCACAUUGAAUUUCCGGUUGAAUCCGUUUUUAUCCUUUGUACUGGAUGACAUGGUGCCUGAAUUCUUUCAUUUCGCCGACACGAUGGCAGCCAAACUGCAGCUUCAAACGCUCUCACUUGGCUGGGUUUCUACCUAGGUUGCCAGGUUAUCAUCGGAGCCUUCUUGUGUCCUCAGAGGGCCACAGGGCCUGAACGGAGGAUCAGAAUGCUACUGACUAAUUGGGCAGCCAUCUCGGAAUUGUUUGUGGGCAAAGAGCUGCUUUAGCACUUUUCUUUUAGCAAAUUAAUGACUCCCUGGCACCGAGGUUUUAAGUGAAGGUAUUAAUAAGAAGUCUGGCAGGUAUUCCCAUGAUUCACAGAGUUACAUUUGCAUUUAAUUUAUCUUAAAGAAAGUUGCAAGAUAAACAGCUGUAAUUCAGACAAACAUGGAAAAUACACUAAGUAGGGCCAUCUCGCCCGUAAAAUGAACACAGAGAUACUUGUUUUAAUUUUUUUCGAGAAAUAAAAAUACUUCUUACAAAACCA